rnacentral:rRNA from 1 species
CUAGCUGUAAGCGAUGGAUACUAGGCGUUGAGAGUAUCGACCCUCUCAGUGUCGUAGCUAACGCGUUAAGUAUCCCGCCUGGGGAGUACGCGCGCAAGCGUGAAACUCAAAGGAAUUGACGGGGGCCCGCACAAGCGGUGGAGUAUGUGGUUUAAUUCGAUGCAACGCGAAGAACCUUACCAGGGCUUGACAUGUCCGGAACCCUGCCCAAAGGCGGGGGUGCCUACGGGAACCGGAACACAGGUGGUGC